rnacentral:rRNA from 1 species
UAACUUAGUGGCGAACGGGUGAGUAACGCGUGAGUAACCUGCCCUGGAGUGGGGGACAACAGUUGGAAACGACUGCUAAUACCGCAUAAGCCCACGGCCCGGCAUCGGGCUGAGGGAAAAGGAUUUAUUCGCUUCAGGAUGGACUCGCGUCCAAUUAGCUAGUUGGUGAGGUAACGGCCCACCAAGGCGACGAUUGGUAGCCGGACUGAGAGGUUGAACGGCCACAUUGGGACUGAGACACGGCCCAGACUCCUACGGGAGGCAGCAGUGGGGGAUAUUGCACAAUGGGGGAAACCCUGAUGCAGCGACGCCGCGUGGAGGAAGAAGGUUUUCGGAUUGUAAACUCCUGUCGUUAGGGACGAUAAUGACGGUACCUAACAAGAAAGCACCGGCUAACUACGUGCCAGCAGCCGCGGUAGAACGUAGGGUGCAAGCGUUGUCCGGAAUUACUGGGUGUAAAGGGAGCGCAGGCGGACCGGCAAGUUGGAAGUGAAAACUAUGGGCUCAACCCAUAAAUUGCUUUCAAAACUGCUGGCCUUGAGUAGUGCAGAGGUAGGUGGAAUUCCCGGUGUAGCGGUGGAAUGCGUAGAUAUCGGGAGGAACACCAGUGGCGAAGGCGACCUACUGGGCACCAACUGACGCU